rnacentral:rRNA from 1 species
AUUGAACGCUGGCGGCAGGCCUAACACAUGCAAGUCGAGCGGAUGAAGGGAGCUUGCUCCUGGAUUCAGCGGCGGACGGGUGAGUAAUGCCUAGGAAUCUGCCUGGUAGUGGGGGAUAACGUCCGGAAACGGGCGCUAAUACCGCAUACGUCCUGAGGGAGAAAGUGGGGGAUCUUCGGACCUCACGCUAUCAGAUGAGCCUAGGUCGGAUUAGCUAGUUGGUGGGGUAAAGGCCUACCAAGGCGACGAUCCGUAACUGGUCUGAGAGGAUGAUCAGUCACACUGGAACUGAGACACGGUCCAGACUCCUACGGGAGGCAGCAGUGGGGAAUAUUGGACAAUGGGCGAAAGCCUGAUGCAGCCAUGCCGCGUGUGUGAAGAAGGUCUUCGGAUUGUAAAGCACUUUAAGUUGGGAAGAAGGGCAGUAAGUUAAUACCUUGCUGUUUUGACGUUACCAACAGAAUAAGCACCGGCUAACUUCGUG